GUAAAGAGAAAGUCGUAACAAGGUUUCCGUAGGUGAACCUGCGGAAGGAUCAUUGCACACACAAGUUGCAGCCAACCCGCGGCGAACGAACACAUUGUCCCCUUCGGCGGGUCGCGACGCCUCGCGGCGUUGCGGCCGGUCGUCUCCCUUCGUCACGAAGAAGUUCGUGGCGUCGGGUUUCCACGAUGCCUCACCUUGACCGAAUGACUGAGUCUCGAAAACUUGGAUGCAGGAGCGGCGAGUUCCGUCCCCUCGAGCUUGCUUGCUUGCGACGGGGGUCGGCGCUCGCCGGUUACCUCGUGACGAGUUGGAACAUAACUUUGAAAAACAACUCUCAGCAACGGAUAUCUUGGCUCUUGCAACGAUGAAGAACGCAGCGAAAUGCGAUACGUAGUGUGAAUUGCAGAAUUCCGCGAAUCAUCGAGUCUUUGAACGCAAGUUGCGCCCGAGGCUUGUCCGAGGGCAUUUCCGCUAGAGCGUCACCGCGCCCCCCACCGAUCCGCUCCCGCCGCGAGGCGCCAGUCGGUUCGAGUGGAAGUGGCCGUCCCGGUCGCGAUCUUCGCGAGUGAGGGUCGGCUGAAAUGGAUGGAAUCGGGCCGCCGUGGUGACACAGUCCGCGAUCGGGUGAUUUUCCGCGAGCCUCCCCCGGGAGGGCCGCCGUGAAUUUUUCUAAGUGCGUGGCUGCGUCCCCCAGUUGGUUUCGGUUCCCUCGUGCAGGUCGUGCGCGCCCCCGCGGCGCGCGUCACGCAUCAGACCUCUAAUCGGAAAAGACUACCCGCUGAGUUUAAGCAUAUCACUAAA
rnacentral:rRNA from 1 species